rnacentral:lncRNA from 1 species
GUUUUGGAUGGAAACUCAGUAUGUUUCUUAAAAAAGAACAAUAGAAACCCAAAACCUGAUUCACCUCUCUAUCCCGCCAUGGUGGCCACAGAUCGAAUCCAAUCCCUUCAUUUUGCCAGUGAGGAAAUGCCCUGGGAAAAUUAAAGCAAAUUACUCCAGGUUACAGGGCCAUUCUCAGGUCUUUUCACACCUGGAUGAGGGGUCUUUUCAAUGCACUACAUAGGCCACCCAACCGAAGACUGAUUGUCCUCUAAGCUUGCCUAAGUUCUGAAGGCCUGGGAGAAUUUCCUAACCCCUUCAGACCUGUUCUCUAGAACCACGUGUCCCAAAGUAUGAUCCACCAUCAACAAUGGUCCACAGUCCAGUGGUGGGCUGUGAAGAUGGCAAAAUGAUACGAAAAUAAGAGUGCUCUUUGCAGUUCUGAUAAGAAAUGACAUAAACUUCUAUACAGGCUUUGAUUUUUGUGAGUGGAUAUGGGAUAGUUCUUAAUCACAUAUCAAGCAUGCAAUGAAAGUUUGUCAAAAAAGCUAACGUUGAGUAUUUCUGGACUAAAGUGAGCAGUUUCUAGCAUUUCCUUAGACCUCUUUAAGUCCAUAGACCUCCCGGGUCUGGCUUCCUCACACUUCCUAGCACAGGACUGGAGCUCCAGUUACACGUGUGGCUAUGCAGAGAGCUGGGACUCCUGAAACUUCAGGAGAUGACUGUUUUAUCAAUACAGCAUCACCAUUGUCAUGAAUGAGUCCUAGUUUUCAAUAGCUGAGUUUCUUGAUGAAUUAAGGUAUCUGUACUCAUGCUAAUUAAUCAUUUUGUUUUUAACUUAUGCACUAUUUUAUUUUUGCUAAAAUUAUAUUCUUCUUCAAUGCUUUAUUAACACAAAGUUCUUCCACUUGAAAAUGAGACCAAGUCACAGAUGGUAUUGUCCCCAUUGCGGAGGGGGCACGGCCUGGGUCACAGAGACAAAGGAAUCCCAACUAAAAAAUACUGACGUGAACAGGUGGG